UACGUAGGGCGCAAGCGUUGUCCGGAAUUAUUGGGCGUAAAGAGCUCGUAGGCGGCCUGUUGCGUCCGCUGUGAAAUCCCGGGGCUCAACCCCGGGCGUGCAGUGGAUACGGGCUGGCUGGAGGCAGGCAGGGGAGAACGGAAUUCCUGGUGUAGCGGUGAAAUGCGCAGAUAUCAGGAGGAACACCGGUGGCGAAGGCGGUUCUCUGGGCCUGUACUGACACUGAGGAGCGAAAGCGUGGGGAGCGAACAGG
rnacentral:rRNA from 1 species